UACGAAGGGGGCGAGCGUUUGUUCGGAAUUACUGGGCGUAAAGCGCGCGUAGGCGGCUUUGUAAGUUAGAGGUGAAAGCCCGGGGCUCAACUCCGGAAUUGCCUUUAAGACUGCAUCGCUAGAAUUGUGGAGAGGUAAGUGGAAUUCCGAGUGUAGAGGUGAAAUUCGUAGAUAUUCGGAAGAACACCAGUGGCGAAGGCGACUUACUGGACACAUAUUGACGCUGAGGUGCGAAAGCGUGGGGAGCAAACAGG
rnacentral:rRNA from 1 species